rnacentral:rRNA from 1 species
CCAGACUCCUACGGGAGGCAGCAGUGGGGAAUAUUGCACAAUGGGGGGAACCCUGAUGCAGCGACGCCGCGUGAGCGAAGAAGUAUUUCGGUAUGUAAAGCUCUAUCAGCAGGGAAGAAAAUGACGGUACCUGACUAAGAAGCACCGGCUAAAUACGUGCCAGCAGCCGCGGUAAUACGUAUGGUGCAAGCGUUAUCCGGAUUUACUGGGUGUAAAGGGAGCGUAGACGGCUGUGCAAGUCUGAAGUGAAAGCCCGGGGCCCAACCCCGGGACUGCUCUUGGAACUGUGCGGCUGGAGUGCGGGAGGGGCAGGCGGAAUUCCUGGUGUAGCGGUGAAAUGCGUAGAUAUCAGGAGGAACACCGGCGGCGAAGGCGGCCUGCUGGACCGCGACUGACGUUGAGGCUCGAAAGCGUGGGGAGCGAACAGGAUUAGAUACCCUAGUACAA